rnacentral:ncRNA from 1 species
UUAAAUUUAAGCGCCGGGACCGUACAUAGUGGCAUAGCGGUUGACGAGGUUGGGGAGCAUCGAAAUAUUCGGCGGAUGCCCCACGGUAGACAUAUCGUAAACGGAUACUUAAAAAUCGGGAGUAAUUCCGUAACAAAGGU